rnacentral:lncRNA from 1 species
GUCAAGAGUACAUUUACCACAAAGCAGUGACAGCACUGUGUGUGCCCCACACUCAGCUACUGAAAUAAAUGUUACCAGCACUGCACAUGUCACACUGAUGAUGUAUUGCUCUGCAAGACCAAGACAACAACAGACCAUGUUUACAUGUGUAUGUUCUGCCUUCUCCUUCCAGAACUGAAACACAGCAGGCUCCAGGGGAACCUGCCACCCAGCAGGAGUAAACUGUGCCUGGGACACCCCUGGGCAUCUCUCCCUUCCUGGGAGGAGCCGCAGGGCAGGACUGCAUUCCCAAUGGCUGGGCCUUCCUCAGAAGCCUCAGCAAGAGGUACGGCCACACAGAGACCUUCUGAGCUGAGUAAGCAUAGAACACCUGACAACCCACAGUGUCUUCUGCAGAACAAAGUGACCACCAAAAGCGGGACUUUGUGGGCCAGUUGGAUAAAACAUAAGCUCAUCUCGCCCCCAAAACCCCGACUCUGGAACCACAGCCUUCCAAGAUUCAAUUUGUAAGUAUCUUUGUGAGAUAUGCCCAAUCAACUGAGUCACUGCUUAUAGAGUGGGUAAUUUUCACACUAAUCAAAAGAGAACAUUACAGCCCAGUCGCAAUACAUCCUCCUUCUGUUUCUGGACAGCAGGGAUUGCUAACAGAUACUAAUUGAUUUUAUUAAUAUUUUAUGAAUUAUUUAUCAAGCAGGUAAGAAGUACCUUUUCUAAGUGUCUAUAAAAUGCCACAGAAUAGCAGUUAUUAGACCCAGCACUCAAUAUAUCUAUUAAGACUUCUUCUUAAAGUGUGUAACAAGUUAUUAUUUAUGUUUCACUGUAUUUCAGAUUAAAAUUGACACAUUAUAGAGAAAUAGCUGUCAUUAUUCUAAAUUUGUUAUUUGCACAAUAAACUAGAAAUUAUUUUCA